AUACCUUUCUCGGCCCUUUGGCUAAUAUCAAGUGUAGUAUCUGUUCUUAUCAGUUUAAUAGCUGAUAUGUGAGUCAUCGACUCACACGAUAUUAACGCUAUUUUUCUAGGGUGAAUGUCCAUCACGAUAGCUUGCUAUAGGGGCCUUCAUGUGUCGGCUUGAAGUUACACUAGUGCUUUGGCCUGGCUCACCCCAU